GUGGGGAAUAUUGGACAAUGGGGGGAACCCUGAUCCAGCCAUGCCGCGUGUGUGAAGAAGGCCUUUUGGUUGUAAAGCACUUUAAGUGGGGAGGAGGCUUACCUGGUUAAUACCUGGGCUAAGUGGACGUUACCCACAGAAUAAGCACCGGCUAACUCUGUGCCAGCAGCCGCGGUAAUACAGAGGGUGCGAGCGUUAAUCGGAUUUACUGGGCGUAAAGCGCGCGUAGGUGGUUAAUUAAGUCAAAUGUGAAAUCCCCGAGCUUAACUUGGGAAUUGCAGUCGAUACUGGUUAGCUAGAGUAUGGGAGAGGAUGGUAGAAUUCCAGGUGUAGCGGUGAAAUGCGUAGAGAUCUGGAGGAAUACCGAUGGCGAAGGCAGCCAUCUGGCCUAAUACUGACACUGAGGUGCGAAAGCAUGGGGAGCAAACAGGAUUAGAUACCCUGGUAGUCC
rnacentral:rRNA from 1 species